rnacentral:ncRNA from 1 species
UCUGAAACCUCGGGGUGUCGUCCGGGCCCGGCCCGGCGACUGAGAUGCACGUCGCAAACCCGUUGAACCUGAACCGGCUGACACCGGCGGAGGGAAGGUCAUGCACCCGCAU